rnacentral:rRNA from 1 species
AUACAGAGGGGGCAAGCGUUGUUCGGAAUUACUGGGCGUAAAGGGCGCGUAGGCGGCCUGUUAAGUCGAACGUGAAAUCCCUAGGCUCAACCUAGGAACUGCGUCCGAUACUGGCAGGCUUGAAUCCGGGAGAGGGAUGCGGAAUUCCAGGUGUAGCGGUGAAAUGCGUAGAUAUCUGGAGGAACACCGGUGGCGAAGGCGGCAUCCUGGACCGGCAUUGACGCGGAGGCGCGAAAGCCAGGGGAGCAAACGGGAUUAGAUACCCCGGUAGUCCGGGCCCUAAACGAUGAAUGCUUGGUGUGGCGGGUAUCGAUCCCUGCCGUGCCGAAGCUAACGCAUUAAGCAUUCCGCCUGGGGAGUACGGUCGCAAGGCUGAAACUCAAAUGAAUUGACGGGG